UACAGAGGUCUCAAGCGUUGUUCGGAAUUACUGGGCGUAAAGCGCGCGUAGGCGGAUCUGCAAGUCGGGGGUGAAAUCCCGAGGCUCAACCUCGGAACUGCCUUCGAUACUGCGGGUCUCGAGUCCGGGAGAGGUGAGUGGAAUUCCUAGUGUAGAGGUGAAAUUCGUAGAUAUUAGGAAGAACACCAGUGGCGAAGGCGGCUCACUGGCCCGGUACUGACGCUGAGGCGCGAAAGCGUGGGGAGCAAACAGG
rnacentral:rRNA from 1 species